rnacentral:rRNA from 1 species
AUACGGAGGAUCCGAGCGUUAUCCGGAUUUAUUGGGUUUAAAGGGUGCGUAGGCGGACUGAUAAGUCAGCUGUGAAAGUUUGCGGCUCAACCGUAAAAUUGCAGUUGAAACUGUUAGUCUUGAGUGUACAUAAGGUAGGCGGAAUUCGUGGUGUAGCGGUGAAAUGCUUAGAUAUCGCGAAGAACUCCAAUUGCGAAGGCAGCUUACCGGGGUACAACUGACGCUGAGGCACGAAAGCGUGGGUAUCAAACAGGAUUAGAUACCCUGGUAGUCCACGCAGUAAACGAUGAAUACUCGCUGUUGGCGAUAUACCGUCAGCGGCUAAGCGAAAGCAUUAAGUAUUCCACCUGGGGAGUACGCCGGCAACGGUGAA